rnacentral:rRNA from 1 species
UUGACCUCGGAUCAGGUGGGGAUA